UACGAAGGGGGCUAGCGCUGCUCGGAAUCACUGGGCGUAAAGGGUGCGUAGGCGGGUCUUUAAGUCAGGGGUGAAAUCCUGGAGCUCAACUCCAGAACUGCCUUUGAUACUGAAGAUCUUGAGUUCGGGAGAGGUGAGUGGAACUGCGAGUGUAGAGGUGAAAUUCGUAGAUAUUCGCAAGAACACCAGUGGCGAAGGCGGCUCACUGGCCCGAUACUGACGCUGAGGUGCGAAAGCGUGGGGAGCAAACAGG
rnacentral:rRNA from 1 species